GGGCAGAUAGCUUAGAGGUUAAAGCAGGAAACUCAUAAUUUCUUGAUCGGGGGUUCAAACUCUCUGCCCA
rnacentral:tRNA from 1 species